rnacentral:misc_RNA from 1 species
AUGGCUGAAGGCAACGGGGAGCUUUGUGGAGACCUCAAGCCAAAAGUUGAACGAACAGAAGACUUUCAGAAACUGAUUGAUUGCGGUUUAGAUGAAAAAGUAGCCGCUAAGUUGGAUGACAUCUACAAAACUGGGAAACUUACCCAUGCCGAUUUGGAUGAAAGGGCUCUUGAUGCUCUGAAAGAGUUCCCCAUCGAAGGUGCUGUGAAUGUACUGACACAGUUCCUCGAUGCCAAUCUGGAGCAUGUAUCUAAUAAGUCUGCCUAUCUCUGUGGAGUCAUGAAAACAUACCGCCAGAAGAACAGAGCGGGCCAAGCCGCAGCUCCCCCUGCAACACAAACAAAUACAGUUAAAGCUCCAGAUGAAGAAAAAAUUAAAGCAAUACUGGACAGGACUGGCUACUCACUUGAUGUGACCACAGGCCAGAGAAAGUAUGGAGGACCACCACCAGACUGGAAGGGGGCGGCACCUGGCAAUGGCUGUGAGGUAUUUUGUGGCAAGAUACCGAAGGACAUGUAUGAAGAUGAACUCAUCCCUCUCUUUGAAAAAUGUGGUACGAUUUGGGAUCUGCGACUGAUGAUGGAUCCUAUGUCUGGUCAAAAUAGAGGUUAUGCUUUUGUUACCUUUACUACCAAGGAUGCUGCGCAGCAGGCUGUGCGAGAGCUUGAUAAUUAUGAAAUCAAACCCGGCAAGAGUCUGAAAGUAAACAUUAGUGUUCCAAAUCUGCGACUUUUUGUGGGCAACAUUCCAAAAUCAAAAGGCAAAGACGAGAUACUGGAGGAGUUCAAUAAAUCAACAGCUGGUCUCACUCAAGUCAUCAUAUACAGUUCACCAGAUGAUAAGAAGAAAAAUAGGGGCUUCUGCUUCUUGGAGUAUGAGUCUCACAAAGCCGCUUCCCUUGCCAAGCGGCGACUUGGAACAGGUCGCAUUAAAGUUUGGGGCUGUGACAUAAUCGUGGAUUGGGCUGAUCCCCAAGAAGAGCCAGAUGAAAGCACUAUGUCUAAAGUGAAAGUACUGUAUGUUAGAAACCUUACUCAAGAUUGUUCUGAGGAAAAAAUGAAAGAAUCUUUUGAACAAUUUGGUAAAGUUGAGAGAGUAAAGAAAAUUAAAGACUAUGCAUUUGUUCAUUUUGAAGAACGUGACAGUGCUGUCAAGGCUAUGGAAGAAUUGAAUGGAAAGGAUAUAGUCGGUGGUGGUUCAGCUAUUGAAGUGUCACUGGCCAAGCCUCCAUCUGAUAAGAAAAAGAAGGAAGAAAUGUUGCGAAACAGGGAAAGAAGGAUGAUGCAAAUGAUGCAGAUCAGAGGAGGCAUGAUGCCAACCCCAAUCCCCAUGCGAGGGCCUGGUGGCUCUGGACCUAGGAAUAGUGGUGCUGGUAUGCGAGGACCCAUGGGCAGAGGCGACUAUGGGUGGCCGUGGCCGUGGGCAGGGAACAGCAGCGGGUCCGGGCCGUGGUCGGGGCGCUGGUCCGGGCACGGGUCCGGGUCGUGGGGGUCCGGGGGCGCAGGGCCCCAGGGGGGGGCGCCAACCCGCAGCCUCCGGGGGUCGUGGGGGUCCGCGGUCGGGGCCCACCGGACGUGGGCAGGCCCGAGGCAAGGGAAGUUUGUCAGGUGAGGAUGGGCAAGGCAGGCAGAUCAAGUGUUCUGAGUUUCUGGAAACAUAUGACAAAAUAUUUCGUUGAUAGCAAGCGCAAGUUUGAUGGAAGUCACCAGAACCAGGGGGAAACAAAGCGUCGUUACCAGAACU